rnacentral:rRNA from 1 species
AGUGAACGCUGGCGGUAGGCCUAACACAUGCAAGUCGAACGGCAGCACAGUAAGAGCUUGCUCUUACGGGUGGCGAGUGGCGGACGGGUGAGGAAUACAUCGGAAUCUACUUUUUCGUGGGGGAUAACGUAGGGAAACUUACGCUAAUACCGCAUACGACCUACGGGUGAAAGCAAGGGAUCUUCGGACCUUGCGCGAUUCAAUGAGCCGAUGUCGGAUUAGCUAGUUGGCGGGGUAAAGGCCCACCAAGGCGACGAUCCGUAGCUGAUCUGAGAGGAUGAUCAGCCACACUGGAACUGAGACACGGUCCAGACUCCUACGGGAGGCAGCAGUGGGGAAUAUUGGACAAUGGGCGCAAGCCUGAUCCAGCCAUACCGCGUGGGUGAAGAAGGCCUUCGGGUUGUAAAGCCCUUUUGUUGGGAAAGAAAAGCAGCAGGUUAAUACCCCGCUGUUCUGACGGUACCCAAAGAAUAAGCACCGGCUAACUUCGUG